AGANGGUUGUCCCCCACANUGGUACUGANACACGGACCAGACUCCUACGGGAGGCAGCAGUGAGGAAUAUUGCGCAAUGGAGGAAACUCUGACGCAGCCAUGCCGCGUGCAGGAUGACGGCCCUAGAGGUUGUAAACUGCUUUUAUAUGGGAAGAAA
rnacentral:rRNA from 1 species